CACACAACUGUUUUCUGACCUCUGCUCAGAAGUCCAAAGCUCCUGCACAGGCAAGAAGCUCAGCUGAUCAGCGGUGGGUGGGGCAUUGUCUUGCUGAGCAAGCAGCUCCCAGAGCAGGAAAUAAAAAGCAAGAGUGAAAAAUGUUUCUCUGGAGUAUAUACAAGAAAUGUGGACCUUGACAGAAAAUAAUUGAUUACCUUGGAAAAGACUGCCAAUCAGCCAGGGAAGGGAAUGUAAAGUUGCUGCAUUGUCAGCCACAGAGUAGCGAUAAGGCUAAUCUGAAAUGAAGAGUCACACAUCCUUCCCAAAGGCAAGCAGGGGGAGAAAGUGCUUGGUGAAGAUAAAGUAAAAGCCAUGCCACCUGCACUGACAAAAGGAGAAAGGACAUCAUAAGAGCCAAUGCAGUGGUUCUACGCAACCUGAGGAUCCCCAUAUGCUUCAAGAUGCUCCUCAGUCAGAUAAACCAGCUUUAAAGCAGCUCCAUGCCUGUUUUAGAGCAGAACAAAGCCAUCCUACCCUAACUCAAGGAUUCAAGCCUCUGGUGCUGGAGUAACUGUUUAUUGGCAUCACUGGAGAAGAAAGAAGCUCAAAGUCUCAUUCUCCUUUAGGUAAUACUGGUCUGAAUCAAUUAAGUCAACAGAGCUCCAGUGUAAGAGGAAAAUCAUCCCCCACCCAUUCAUUUUUUUUUUUGGUCACAUUUUAAUGCAAUGUUUUGGGUGGCUAUGAAUUUAGUCUUGUCUGCCCCAUUAAAAAAAAAAGAAAAAGCUAGAUUCUAGCCUCCACUGUGACUUUUUUCCACCCCUGCAUAACAAGUAUCUCAGAGGCAGUAUGUGUGUGUAUAUAACAGCCUUCUGAUACUAGUACUGAAAGGGACAAGGAAACACCAAGAUUCAGUCACUCUUUGAAAUGGUCCUCACUUGGGGUCUGAUUGGGAGGCAUGGCUUAGUGGUUGUAGGGGUACUUGAACAGUCCUGCCUUUACUAAAAUAAUGUCUGCCUUGCCUAAAGCGCAGAUCUCUAACAAAUCAAAACCCAGGCUUGUCUUAAGUCUGGUGCAUAUAAGCAUGUAGGCAAGGCUGGGGGGGAGCUUUGGGAAGCAGGAAUUUUUUUUGCACA